AGCUAAGCAAGUUCUAAACAAUCACUUAUAAAUCUAUAGGAAACAAAGCUAGAGAUAUUACACAAUCAAGUAUGAAUGUAAGGCAUGAAACACAAGAGAUAAGGCAUCACAAAUACAAAGAUGUAUAGUGGUUCGGUGCACCCCAGCACCUACAUCCACUCCCCAAGAUCUCUUGGGAAUUUCACUACAAUUCCUCAGAUUACAGCCGGUUGUUUUACAAGCUCACAACCUAACUUGUUUUCACGAGAUCACAACGAACUCGGUCGGUUUUCACAGGCUCACCGACUAGAACCAAUCCGACUGUUUUCACGGGCUCACAAUCCAACCCAGUUGGUUUUUUCCGGAUUACCAACUACAACCUACAACGUUGGUUUUCACUGGCUCACCAACAACCCUUAACCCCUUGAUU
rnacentral:lncRNA from 1 species